GAGUUUGAUUCUGGCUCAGAAUGAACGUUGGCGGCGUGGAUUAGGCAUGCAAGUCGAGGGAGAACCCGCAAGGGGGAAACCGGCGAACGGGGUAGGAUCACCUCGGUAACGUACCCUUCAGACGGGGAUAGCGGCGGGAAACUGCCGGUAAUACCCGAUGAUCUGGCUGGCUGUGAAUGCUGGUCAGCAAAGGUGAGAUUCCACUGAAGGAGCGGCUGAGGCGUUAUUAGCUAGUUGGUGAGGUAACGGCUCACCAAGGCGACGAUGACUAGGGGGUGUGAGAGCAUGGCCCCCACCACUGGCACUGAGACACUGGCCAGACACCUACGGGUGGCUGCAGUCGAGAAUCUUCGGCAAUGGGCGCAAGCCUGACCGAGCGACGCCGCGUGCGGGAUGAAGGUCUUCGGAUUGUAAACCGCUGUC
rnacentral:rRNA from 1 species